GCGCCUGUAGCUCAGCUGGAUAGAGCGCCGGAUUCCGGUUCCGUAGGCCGGGGGUUCGAAUCCCUCCAGGCGCGCCA
rnacentral:tRNA from 1 species